UACAGAGGAGCCAAGCGUUGUCCGGAUUGACUGGGCGUAAAGCGCACGCAGGCGGACGCGCGCGUGGGGUGUGAAAUCUGGCCGCUUAACGGCCAGGCGCCAUCCCAUACGGCGCGUCUGGAGCAAUGCAGAGGUCGGUGGAAUUGCCGGUGUAGCGGUGAAAUGCGUAGAGAUCGGCAGGAACACCCAGGGGGGAAACCAGCCGACUGGGCAUUUGCUGACGCUGAGGUGCGAGAGCGUGGGGAGCGAACCGG
rnacentral:rRNA from 1 species